AAUUGCAAAUUGCCAUGUUUCUGUUUAUUGUGGCCUAAAUUUUUUGAAAUUUAGUUAAAUGAUAUGUUUAUAUAGAUAAUUUAAAACAAUUUCAGCAUUAAUAUGUACUUUAGAUGUUUCUUAUGCAUGAUUAAAUAAUGUGUUCGAGUGUAAAAAUCGUGAUAUUUUGAAAAGUGCUGUUUGUUUACUACAUUGAUCCGCUAAGUUUGGAUAAAGUAUACUAAUUAUUAUUGUUGGUAUAAAAAUCUUCUAAAAAUUAUUAUUUACUUCAGUCGAACAACAAAGUGAUGAGAACUUUCUUCUUAUUGGUCGAAAGUAAUAUUAAUAUUAAAAAAGUAAUACUCUAUGAGUUCCGCUCCUGAAAACGAUCACUCUACAAGUCUACAAUAUAAAUUAAAUGACAACAUUACUUUGAAGUUGAGCAUAACUACAAAUCAGAUUUCUAAACGAAUAAUUGUAAGGGGAUACUAAAGAUGCUUGGCGGUAGCGUUCUGUGGUUCCGUCACGGGCUGCGUCUCCACGACAAUCCGUCUCUUCAUUCGGCGUUGGAAGAAACGAGCGGCCCUUUCUUUCCCAUUUUCAUUUUUGACGGGGAAACUGCUGGAACGAAAGUGGUCGGGUACAACCGAAUGCGGUACUUGCUAGAAGCGUUAGAUGAUUUGGACAAGCAAUUCAAGAAGUACGGCGGAAGAUUACUCCUUGUUAAAGGGAAACCCAGUGCUGUGUUCCGCAGACUCUGGGAAGAAUUUGGUAUUCGGAAGUUGUGCUUCGAACAGGACUGCGAGCCGGUGUGGCGUCCCAGGGACGAGAGCGUGAAGACGGCGUGCCGCGAGAUCGGGGUCACGUGUCGGGAGCACGUGUCGCACACCCUGUGGGAGCCCGACACCGUCAUCAAAGCGAACGGGGGAAUACCGCCGCUCACGUACCAAAUGUUUCUGCAUACUGUGGCGACCAUCGGUGACCCGCCGCGGCCUGUCGACAACGCCAAACUCCGCGGUAUUAAGUUCGGUACAUUGCCGCUGUGUUUCUAUGAAGAAUUCACUGUUUACGACAAGGUGCCGAAUCCCGAAGACCUCGGAGUGUUUCUCGAAAACGAAGACAUCCGGAUGAUACGUUGGGUCGGUGGCGAGACGGCCGCCUUGAAGCAGAUGCAACAUCGACUCGCCGUCGAAUACGAGACGUUCUGCAGAGGUUCCUAUCUACCGACGCACGGCAGCCCCGACCUCCUCGGGCCUCCGAUAUCGCUGAGUCCCGCUCUACGGUUCGGAUGCCUCUCCGUUAGGAAAUUUUACUGGUCGCUCCAGGAUUUGUUCCAGCAAGUGCACCAGGGAAGCUUGUGUUCUACUCAAUACAUUACCGGUCAGUUGAUAUGGCGCGAGUACUUCUACACGAUGAGUGUGAACAAUCCUCAUUACGGACAGAUGACUGACAACCCUAUUUGCUUGGACAUCCCCUGGAAAAGCCCUGAGGGAGAUGAACUGGAGAGAUGGGCGUCGGGGCGCACGGGGUUCCCGUUCGUGGACGCGGCCAUGCGGCAGCUCCGGCUGGAGGGCUGGCUGCACCACGCCGUGCGGAACACCGUCGCCUCCUUCCUCACGCGCGGCACUCUGUGGCUCUCCUGGGAGCACGGGCUCGCGCACUUCCUCAAGUACCUGCUCGACGCCGACUGGUCCGUGUGCGCCGGCAACUGGAUGUGGGUGUCCAGUAGCGCCUUCGAAGCGUUGCUGGACUCGGGCGAGUGCGCGUGUCCAGUGCGACUGGGCCAGCGGCUCGACCCCAGCGGCGAGUACGUGCGGCGCUACGUGCCCGAGCUGGCGCGGGUGCCGACCGAAUACAUCUACGAGCCCUGGAAAGCGCCUCUGGACGUGCAAGAACGUGCCAACUGUAUAAUAGGCAAGGACUAUCCCGCGCCUGUGGUCAAUCAUAUCGUAGCUGCGCAGCGCAACAGAAACGCCAUGGAGCGGUUGAGUCACGCCAUUAAAUAGCGCCUACAACGACACAACUGGUCGAACGUUGUCUGGGUCUGUACAAAAUAUCUUAAUAAAUUGUACACCUAGUGGACCGAAAAAUGAAAAAUAAGUUUACGACAAUAGUUUAACGAUUUAUUCAUGGGAAUUACGCAUGCUUCUGGAAAAAGCGCCACCGCAUUGCUGUCCGUCGUCAGAGGAUGAAAUCAGGCAAUUCAUGUGGCUUAACGAAUAGAAGAACAAACGACUCUCUAAAGUAUAUUUUUAUUUGUCUAAUGUACGGUAUGACAUUCGUUUUCGCAGCUUGGCUCUUGCGUAAACCGGCUUAAUCCGGAUAAAUCCGCUGGUUCCGUAGAUCAUGCGAAAAGCGGGCCUUGCAUGCGAGCUUUGGUAGAGUCUACCCGUGAUUAUGGCCUUUGCGAUAACGCCGAAGUAUCGGGGACUCCUUAGUUAAAAAUCCUGGUCGGAACAUGCUAUGUGAUAGUGCUUAUCAUUAUAUAUGUGAAAUGUUCGUUUUCCGGCUCAGUGAGUUCGGUGUAGUGGGUUAAUUUGUUAGAACAUACAUUGAGCCUGGAUACACCUGAUCCCCAGUCGGGGACAGUUAGGGAACUUGCCCAGCAAGAUAUCCUAGGCCCCUGAUAUGCGUCUAGAAUUUAAGAAAUUAGCAUAUGGACGCACCUGGAACUGCCACGCGGAGUUCCAAGACGCGUGCACUGUUUUCUGGAAUCACUUGGAUUCGAUUGGUUUCCGUUUUUUGACAUUUGUAUAACUUGUCACCCGUGACAAGCCAGUUUGGUUACGUUCGAAAAAGGGGUACUUAGUUGGUUGCGUGUUGUUCGACUAACGUUUGUAAUCGAUGUAUGUAUUUAUAUUCAUGCGAUUCUGGUUCUCUUUGUCAUUCCAUGAAUCCAAAUGUGGAGACCGAUUGGCAGGUCUAAUGUCAAGUUUAAAAUUUAUCGCGAAGAUAGUACAGUAAUAGUAUUAACGUACUUAAAUAAUUGCAUGUCAGCGCUAUGAGUAUAGCUAUUAGGUGUGGGACUUUUUUAUUUGCUAUUUUUUGGGUCUUAAGGUGGCCAUGGCUUUAUGAUCUCUCCAUUUUGUGUUAAGUUUUGUAUAAUAAAUAUCGUACCAAUAUUAACUAACUAUUGUUGUAUUUAAAUAUUUAGGAAUUACAUCGUUGCUAUCAAAGUAACUUUCACUUACUUGUUGUCAGGUUGAUGUUUUCGUACGAUACAAAAAAUUCUAAUUAAAAUUUACUAUUAACAAGUUCACGGCUAUAUAUUGCCUCAGUCGGACGCUUGAGCUAUUACAACGAUAAGCAUUUUGGCUUAAGUUUGCAAAAAACAUGUUAACGGUUUGCAAUUUGUUUAUAAUAUUUGAGUCGACUAUUAUCAAAGCCGGCAAUGUGACUUUUGGACAAUUAUUGGUAAAUCAGAAAAACGACUUGGUAUUCCAUUGGCAGUCACAAAACUCUUCUGAACGAUAUCUUAGAUAAAUAACAGGUUAAGUAUUAACCUUUAUUUAAUGCAGGUUUUGAACCGUAUUCUUUGAAGGAGACGAUUAUAUUCAAAUCAAUCUGUAUUGACAUAUCAAUAACAUUUUUUUGUCCAAAUUCACAGAUUGCCACCUUUGAUAAUAGACGACUCAUUUAUAGGUUUUGUAUAAUUAUAUAUAUAUGAAAAAAAAAAUGAUGUCGGUCUAAUUUUGGACGCAGCUAGAAACGUGAAUGUCUAUGUAGACCUUUAUUCUCAUAGGUUAUUUAAGUCUGAGCUGCAAUUGUCCCUUUUCCUAUAUUUGGGGAGGGUAAAGGCAGCAUUUUUUCUUAGAGACUUAUGAAUAUUCUCGAUUUACACGUUUUUCCUUUUAAAAUGUUAUUAGCUUUUUGACCUCGGGAGCGGUUGAAUACUACUUCAAGGAUAUUUUUGGAUUGAAUAUAGAUAUAUGUAUAUGAUAAAUGUUUACAUUUUAAAAAAACAUGAUAGUAUACAAAUCUAGUAAUUGUAGUUAAAUUUUAUUAUAUUAAAUUUUAAAUAAAUUAAAAAGAUAUUCGAUGCGAAGAUGCGUUGCGAAUUAUUUUUAGAUGAAAUUAUAAAAAGAUAUAUAUUUAUGAAUGUUUUUAAAAACGGUACUUUUAUACUUACCGGUGAACAAAAACUAUACUAAACUAUAUUGUAAUGGAAUAUUAUUAUUGAAAAAAAAAAAUUGUAAAUUUCAAUAAUGGAAUAUAUUUUUUGAUGAUCUGAUAUUUUUGAAAAUUAUAAUGUUAAAGUUUUUUUUUUUCGUGCCAAAUUUUAUAGUAACAGACGGCGAUGUCUGAUAUUAAUGGGGUAUUGUUUGUUAAUUGUAGCAAAAAAAAACAAAGUGUUAUAAAGAAUCGCAGAAAGCGAAACAGUGAAAUUAUUAUUAACAGAUAAAAUAUUAUUAACAGAUAAAAUAUUAUUAACAAAUAAAAUAUUAUUAACAGAUAAAAUAUUAUUAACAGAUAAAAUAUUAUUAACAGAUAAAAGAUAUUAUGAACAGAUAAAAUAUAUUAUUAACAGAUUAAAUAAGUUACACUUGAAAUAGCUAGCAAUUAAACUAUUGAAUUGAAAGAAUAAACAUAUCAUUCACAUUUUUGUCUGAUGUUUGGUUCAAAUUUAAUAAACUAAUAAAAUGUAUUGUGUUUCGAGAUACACGAACGAAAUAUACAUGCCAUAAUUAAAAUAUAACACUUUUAUUUGAACAAGUAAUGAAGCACAUGCCAUAAUUAGUAACAUCGAGUCAUAAGAUUUAAUUUCAUUUGUUUUAGUUUAUUCCUUAUGGAUAUUGCGUGCUUUUUUCCGGUACUUAUCCUUGACGAAUGUGUACGUAAAUCGGAAGAAUUUAAAUUAAAAAUAAAUUAGAAUAUUUUCAAGGAACUUAUACUAAGAAAGUAUCCGUACUUAAUUAAGAUAAAUUAUUAGAUUAGUAAAACGGGGUGAAUAGAGACAAUAUUGAACUUUACUUCAUUUUUAUGUAUGUCUUCAAUAGUCAAAAGAACAUUACAUUGGGUUUUUAUCAUGUCUCUUAGAUCUAAAUUAUUCCAGGCAUUUAUUCCUUAGUUACAGAACGAAAUGCAAAAAUAUGUUUCGUUUCUAUUGACCCGCGCAUGGGUUCAAUAGACACAAUGUAUAAGGUGAAUUGAGAAAAAUGCUAGGGUUGGCAAUUUCCAAAGAUUAAGUAGACACCUGCAUAAAUAGAUAACGUAAGUGUGAAAAAUAGGUACCUAGGUAGUUAUGUAGUAAAUGUUACCUAAUGGUAGAAAUAAAACAAUAGAAAAGUAAAAAUAUAAAACUUUUUAAUCUUUAAUUUUCAUCGACGAGAUCAAUUAUUUAUUCUUAUAUUCGAGACCAAUCAGUUGCAUCGUUUAUUGAUUGCACACAAAACAAGUUAUAAUUUUAAGAAACAGUCUCAUUAAUAGGUCCUUCCCCCCUGAGUCGCAUUCCUCAUGUCUGAGGGUCGUGACCAUCUCUUCACAUUAUCCUUCUUUGGAUGAUGUUUCGCCAUCUUCCUCUGUUCUCGGCGGUGUAUAUGGCGUCGUAGACGGUGGUAUCCAGAGUGAUGCGGAUUUGGUCGGACCAGCGCAUUGGAUUGCAGCCACAAGAUCUUUUGCCUGCAAUCUUGCCAGUUAGUAUCGAUUUUCAAUAUUUUUACCGCUCUUUCUGGCAAUGGGACCGAAGAAUUGAAAUAUCCUCUUAAGGCAUAUGGUAGAGAGCCCGGUUUGGAUAUUGAGCUGUCUUAAUAUGGAUGCAUUAGUCCGAUAUGCUCUCCACGGGAUUCGUAGCAUCUUCCUCCAGCACCACAUCUCGAAGGCAUCAAUGUUUUUUAUAUCCUAUCUUCUUAGAUAAUUCUUCUCUACAACAAGCAUCUUUAAUUUGACAUUAUAGGGCAUCUCCGGAUCUUGUAGUCCGCGGACUUUUAAUUCUUUCCUGUGCUGAAUGAGAGUCCAAGUGGGAUCCGAUAUCCAGACAGUUUUUUUUAAAGUCUGCUUUCAUGUGCUUGGGUAUUACCUUAACCAAGGUCUCAGUCGGUCCAGCGGUGCCUGGAGUUUUCCUUCCAUCGUUUGUCGAAAAGCAUGGCGUUGCAUGGGUCCUGCCAGUUCAGGGCCAGUUUUUGAGCGUUGUCUUGGAGCUUUCAAACGAAGUCUAAAUCAGGCAACCAGUAAAUGUGGUCUGAGUCGCAUCCUGCACCAGGAAAACUCUUUACGUUGUUGACCGAUUGCUUCCAACGGGAAUUUACUAAAAUAUAAUCAACUAAUUUCGUUAUCGAUUGCCCGGAGAUGACGAAGUGUAAAAGCGUCUAGGGUUAUGUUGAAAAUGAGUGUUUAGAAUCGUGAAAUUCUUGUUGAUACAGAACUCUUAUCAUUUUCUCUCCACGUCCGUUUCUGUUGCCUAGACCAAAUUUCCAUAUGAUUUCAUGAAGUUGAAGAUCAUAAGCGUUUCCGACCUACGCAUUCCAGUCUCCCAGUAUCACGGUAACCUCUCUGUUCCGAAUUGCAUCGAUUGUCGCUUUCAAUGUCCCAUAGAAAUUUUCUAUAUCUUCAUCAGAAGACGCAGAAGUGGAAGCAUAUACUUGCAGGAUGUUAAGCGUGCAAGGCUUGGUGUUUAAUUUGAUACUUAUGAUUCACUCUGAGACUGGAUUGCAGCCAAGAACUUGUUGAUUCAUCUUUGCUGACAUAAUAAAACCCACUCCAUGCAGACUAGAAUCAUCCAGACCAGAGAAAUACAUGGUAUUUCCCGAAGCUGUCUUGAAAUGUCCGAUUCUUCGCAUGUGUCUCGCCGAUGCCCAAAAUACUAAUGUCGUGAGAUUCCAUCUCCCGUUCCACAAUGCUUAAUUUCCCUGGCCUAAUGACACCUCUUCCAGGUGCCAAUACGAUGAUGUGCUCGUAUAGAUGUUUUGGUGCUAUAUGUUUUAUUUCCUCCACAAGUUAGAACUUCGGUAGCCAAUUUCACACCAGCCGGCCCGGGUACCGACUGGCGCCGAGUGUUAGCCGAAUCGCAUUCAUCAUUUCUUGUGUUCACGGUUAGAGGUUUUCUUGGGAGUUAAUUAAACGGCGGGUUCCAAUGUCCUUCCGUCUCAGUCUUUUAGAAGAUAUUUAGUCUCCUCGGUCACUGGGUACCGCUUCAUGAACGCUGGGUGGCCACGGUGUUGUCAGGUUAAUUCCCGCCGCCUGAGGCUCGGCGUUGAACUUUUACGGUAGCUGUGGUCCCUCCUGUUCAACCUCCCUCCUUUUGCAUCCGGGCUUGGGACCGGCAACGGUGGAUGUAUUACGUAGUUACAUAGUUAACAUUAAAUAAUUAACUUUUCAAUAAUCAGCAUUUAAAACUAGGUACUAAACCAAUGAGAUACACUUUUAACAAUAGCACAGUAGUCACGUAUUAUAUAUCGUUAUCCAUUAAAUCUUUCAGAAUAUCUUUUUCGUUUUUGUAAAACGAUGGUCGCCGAGUUUGGAUAGUUUGUAAACUGCUUGGACCAGGACGAUCAAUAUUAUCAGUUGUAUCCUUUAAAAUUUUAAGACGCGAAUUUGGAUAUAUUUUUAGCACUUAUUCAAAGUAACCUAGUAAUAUCUGAUAUAUUUUCAUUAGAUAUUACUUAGAUACUUUAUAUAUAUUGUUUUCUUUGCCAUCGUAAGUAUUAGUUGCAGUAUUUUCUUUGUUUUGUGAUAUUUUGGAUGUCAGUUCUGCCUUUUUUGGUUUCUUUUGGCUUUCCUCUUGUUCUGUUUCUACAUAGUUUUCACUUUGAGUACCAACGCUUCGUCCAGGUAUUCCAACUUUUUUUCCUUUAUGGUUCAGUUAUGUUCAUGGUUCCAUAUUUCAUCUCCCUGAGCAUAUCUAGAACGGAUUUUUCUAUUUCAGUUUCAUUUUCAUCGUUUUGCACUUCAUGUAGUCUGCUUAAAACUUUUAUUCAUUAAGCGGGUAUAUUCCUGUUUUCCAAAAUCCUGCUAUUAUAUUAGCAGCAGUAAUUGUUACGAAGCUCUUCCAUUAAUUUAUUUAAAAGUCUAGGAAAACAUCCCUUUGGAAUCGUGGCUUGGGCUUUUCCAUCGGUUUUUUUUCACUUCAAUACUACGUUUCGCCAAGUUAUCUUCAUAGGCAUGAAGAAUACCACAUCAAGAGGUAUGUGAGAUGUGUACUAUUCGCCGGUAAAAAAAAUUAACUAUAUAUUUUGUUCGUGGCACAGCAUUAUUGUCUCCAUCGAUAAAUGCGACGAGAGGUUAUCGCCUAUUAGGCUCUUUUUCCCAACUUUCUCUUUGAAGCGAGGUAUGAUUAUUGAUUUAAUCCAAUCUUUAAAAAUGGUGGCUAUAAAGCGCCGUCAGCUGUAACGGCUAUCAUAAAUGGAACUGAAGACUUUGUGCUAUUCAUUACCCUCUCUGGGUACUUCGUUCCUCGUUUACUAAAUGAUUUUUUUGCGUCAUGGGUCAUCAUUCAAAUUAGUUUCAUCACAAUUAAUUACAUUGCUUUAAUAAGUUGAUGCUUAAAUAAUUUAAGUUAAUACAUAAAUUAAUACCCGCCAAUGACUCUUCUAACUCUUUGAAAUAUUCUUUAAUUGAGUCUAGUGAACUUUCUGCCCUUUUUUUCUUUAAUGUUUUAGCUAUAUCUAUGGGGAAUUUGGUUUUGUGAUGGCGCGACCAAGUCUGGUCCCGGUAAAUUAUUUUUAAAUUUGAGCACUGCCCGGCCCACUUGUUCAAGCAACUAUAAGCCUUAACAAUGUAUCUCAAAUCUAAUGCAUCUAAAGGGUAUCCCCAUUCUGCACAUUUAUUGAUAUACUUUAUCGUGUACUCUUCAGUCUCGUCAGUUAAAAUAGUUUGCCCUCCUUGUUUUUUCAUAGUUUCGCUGUAUCUAUAAAAUACAGAUUUAUCGAUAUUACAUUUCUCCGUUAUGGCCUUUAAAGAGAAUUGACAAUUCGCAUAUGCGGCAACAGCUUCAUUUAUAAUAUUUUCAUCGUACUUUCUAUAUCUUUUCCCUUUAGGAUCUGGUUUAUAAACACGCGGCAUAAUGGUUUGUACCUAUAACAGAAGAAAAUACUUAUAUAGGCGAUGAAAAUAUAUUAGUACAUAAUAAGUAACACUGUACAUAAAACUAGGAUUUAAAUCCUGAUUUGGAUUGGAUUGACCUAGAUAGAUAGAUAUACAUUUUACAGGUACCUAGACCUAAAUCUUUAAGCAGUAUUUAUAGAUCAUCAAUAUCGUCUCCGAAUCAUACAAUUUCCAAGAAUUCUAAAUUUUUAUAACAAAACAAAAUAAUAUUCUUAUAUGUAGCAGCCCUUUUUUUUUCGGGCCGGUGGCUGAACCUACGAGGUCCCCCCACCUAGGGGGCGCGCUUGGUAUUUGAGAUUGGUCCGCGACUGCGAGAUCGCGGGCCCAGGGUUGUUUUCAGGGCCCUACCCACUAAACGACUCCCCUACACUCUUCGCACAAGUGUCCGAUCCCCUCCGAGGUCAGAACACGGAUGAGGUAAGGGGGUUACCGCGGUCAACACUACAACCAGACGGCGCAGCUCACCCCAAGUACGCCCAGCCGACGGAGUCUCCGAGGCGAAUCGAAGGCCCUGAAACGUCGGCCGUCUCGGUACGGCAGCCCGUCAGGCCGCCCAGACGGUGCUGCUGAUGUCCCGGAAUACCCCGCUGGACCAGAACCAGCCUGCCGGGUUGGGACGCGAUACACCGCCAACCGGUUGGUCUUUCGUAUCUCCUUGGUGGCGCGCUAGAGUGCUGGUAGCGCGCCGCGCGGCCUCUACCCCCUCAGGUCGCCCCUUGACCUUCACCGGGGGGAAGCCGAUAUAUGUGGCAGCCCUAAUACAUAAUAUUUUUCUAAUCACCUCUUACUCGUUUCUAUUGAACCCUUUCACGUGUCUAUUGAACCUAUAUUUUGUAUCUAUUAGCCUCUUCCCCGUGUCUAUUAACCUCGAAUUUUAUAGGACCUCGUUUAACCUGCAUUCAAGGGACUCACUGCAAGAUCUCUUUUAUUAUGUUGGACAAACCUCACGUCAAUUAAGUGCUGCUAUUUCAAGAAAAAUAAUGCUGCAGUUUUAAAAAAAUAUAAAUUUCGGAAAGUUUUUCUUUCAAAGUAUUGGGCUAUAGUCUGUAGAAAAACAUUUUUAGUUUUGUAUCUAUUCACCCUGCGAUUUUAUUCACCCUGUUUUACGGUAUGGAGUCAGCGUCAGAACGCCACUUCGCAACACGAUAAUCCUCUUAUCGUGGCCGCUGUUAAAUAUUUGCAUACACAGAGCAUGUAGUCGCGCUUUGUGGUCGUUUGCCGAGGCUGUGUAUUGCAACUUUUGUCGGUGUAGUCUCCGACCAAUGCGCAAGUCCGAUUACUUUCUGGCCUACAGGCUAAUCUUCUAUUCGGUUGGAGCCGUACGUUACAGAUCUAUCGCGAUUACUUCCUUACUUUCCAAUGCCGUGGGGCGGAUAAUAAAUACGCAACUCCUUAAGUGUCUUGAGGAUCGCUGGCUGAUCAAUGACCGGACAGUACGGUUUUUGUAAAGGUUGCUCAAAUGGCAAUCUUCUUGUAUACCUUGGUCACAGUUGGGUCGAAGCCUUGGAGAGCAAGGGCGAGGCUCUCAAGAGUGAGCCUUAGUACCGCGAAGGCAUUCCACAGAGUCUGGCAUAGUCGAAGUUACCUUUUCGCUAACGUCGACUCGACUUCGGGUUGCUUACUUUUUGGAUAGGCGCAGCAUCACAGCGUUAUGACAUCAGUUUCUUUAAAGGAAGUUUGUGAAGUUUACUCAUCGUAGGCAGCAGCUUAGCUACGCCCCUGGCAUUGCUAACAUCUACGAGCUAGGGUAACUACUCACUGUCAGGUGGGUCUUAUCGCAAUUCUGAUCUAGUAAUAGCUUCCGUGGCAAAGCACCGGCCCAUGAGCUGUUCGCCCUUCAUUGGAGACGCUCGGACAGUUAUUAGUAAGCUCCACCCCACUGAGCCAGCCCGUGUUCCCCCACCCACCCUGAUAAAGUUGAAAAGGUCAUCAGGCCACCAGUAAAAAUACAUGUUAUUUGUUUUCCCAUUAGCGAAUUCAUGUUAAAGCAGCAAAUCGUGCUGCUAAUUAGAAAUUCCUAUUAGCCCCGCCAAUGUUCAACCAUUCUUAAUUACCCGAGUAUCUUAGACAAGAUGGUAAUGGUAAUCGAUGGUUUAUGUAUUUCAAUAUGCUAGCCUGGCUUAGCUGUUGUAUUAGCUAUAGAUUCAAUUCUAAUAAUCAUUCUGUCACACCGUGGUCAUAACCCUUAAAAUUGUGGUAAAUAUUAUGAAGUGAGGUAUGGAUAGAGCUUAUUUUCAAUCGCCAUAACCGAUGUGAUGGCCCCAGUGCAUUUGUAUUUUGCUAGUCAUUAACUGAUCUUAGCUUAUGUUGACCAAUUUGAUUCCUAUAGCAAAAAAUCAUAUAUUUAUUGGAAACAAAUAGUAAGAAUGUAAUUAAAAAUUUACAAUAACGAUUAAGUACAAUGCUUGGCUUAGCUGAAAGUUUUAUUGUUAACAAUUAUAAGCUUCGCUUGUUACAAUUCUAUUGAUUUUAUCGUUGUUUUUUUUCUACGUUAAAUGCAAAUAGUUUGUUUAAAAUAUUGUUAAUGAUAUUUGUAUUCCAAAGGAAAUAUUGUUUAUAUUUUUAAAUUGAUUUGUUUAUUUAAGUUUAACAAUGUUUUUGUUAUUAAAAAUAUUAAAAAAAAGUAUUACUAUUAUUGAAAAAAUGCGUAACGCUUAGUGUUGUAAUACAUUUGAUGUUAGAAAAAUAUAUAUGUAGUUUGAGAGUACGUAAACCGAAAAUAAAUAGAUAAAAUAGU